rnacentral:lncRNA from 1 species
UGGAUGAUGCAAUGCUUAACUCACCAUGACAUGUGAAUGGAUGACUCAAUACCUAACCCACCAACAAUUCCCACUCUUGCCGUGCUCACCUACUCAAUUCCACCAGAAUUUUGUGUUAAACAAGUCCAUCCUUUUCCUAUAAAUACCAUGGCAGCAACCUCAUUCAAAUCAUCCAGAAAUUAACCAUUCUCCAAGCCUUGCCUUGCCUCUCCCUACAUAUCUAAACUCUUUCCCAUCCGUUCCUCCACAUAACCAACCCUUCAAAACAUCACUCCA